UCCCUUGUAGCUCAGUCAGUAAAGAAUCUGCCUGUAAUACAGGAGACCCAGGUUCGAUUCCUGGGUUGGGAA
rnacentral:tRNA from 1 species